AAACGAAUCUAAGUUCUCCCUCAGCCCCUUCCUCAAGACGGACUAACCAAAUCCCCAUGCAAUAGGUUGAGAGCUAUUUAAAGGGGGUACAGCCCCUUUAAAAAGGGUACAACCUCCACCAGCGGAUAACCCCGUCCCAUUCCAUUUUUGGUGGGCCUUAAAGCAGCCACCCUCAAAGAACGCGUCAAAGCUCCACAAACCAAAAAAAUCCAAAAACAAUGUGUAAUCCCUAAACCUAUAGCGGGCCAACCUACAACAGUAGGUGAACUAAUGCUAAAACGAGUAACCAGGAUACCAAAUCCCCUAAAGCGCAAACUUAAGUACCAUUAACAGCACAGUCACAAUAUUAAACCCCCCCGACCAAACAUUGAAUAAACCCUGUCGGACCAACCCAGGAGCGCACACUAGGAUGAUUAAAAUCUGUAAAAGGAACUCAGCAAACUCAAGGCCCGACUGUUUACCAAAAACAUAGCCUUCAGCCAAACAAGUAUUGAAGGUGAUGCCUGCCCAGUGACACCACGUUUAACGGCCGCGGUAUACUAACCGUGCAAAGGUAGCGCAAUCAAUUGUCCCAUAAAUCGAGACCUGUAUGAACGGCUAAACGAGGUCUUAACUGUCUCCUGCAGAUAAUCAGUGAAACUGAUCCCUUUGUGCAAAAGCAAAGAUGAGCACAUAAGACGAGAAGACCCUGUGGAACUUAAAAAUCAACAGCCACCACACCCAACCCACAAGCCCACCUGGCUCACCACCCAAUAGCA
rnacentral:rRNA from 1 species